CGGCAACAGCUCAAAUUUGAAAUCUGGCCCUCUCAGGGUCCGAGUUGUAGUCUAGAGAAGCAUCAUCCGUGCUGGACCAUGUACAAGUCUCUUGGAACAGAGCGUCAUAGAGGGUGAGAAUCCCGUCCUUGACAUGGACUCCCAGUACUUUGUGUUGUGCUCUCAAC
rnacentral:rRNA from 1 species